GGAAGUUCCCAGGGAGAAGGCAGCGCGUUGUACCCGAGAUUCAGGGUCUGGCUCUGCUUCCCAGGCUAGAGUGCAUUUGGCGCGAUCACAGCUCACUGCAGCCUCGACCUCCUGAGCUCAAGCGAACUUCCUGCCUCAGCCUCCUGAGCUUCCUGAGUAGCUGCGACUACAGGCACGUGCCACCAUGUCCGGUUAUUUUUGUAUUUUUUGUAGAGAGUGUCUCGCCAUGUUGCCCAGGCUGGUUUCGAACUCCUGGGCUCAAUCAGUCUGCUGCCUCGGCCUCCCAAAGUGCUGGCAUUACAGGUCUAUAUUUUUUGACAGUUUAUAAAAGCCAAUUACCAGCGGUCAUAUGUCUGAGUCCUGUGCACUCUUGCUUAAUCCACUCUGCAGCCCUGUGAAGGAUUCUAGUGAUAACGACAAAGCUAAGAAAAAAGAAAUCCUCUUUUUAGAACAUCUCUUGGUGGUACCAUCAGAAAUGUCUUCCUUAAGUGGAAAAGUCCAAACCGUUUUGGGCCUUGUAGAGCCAAGCAAACUGGGCCGUACCCUGACCCAUGAACACCUGGCCAUGACCUUUGACUGCUGUUACUGUCCACCUCCCCCGUGCCAGGAAGCUAUUUCCAAAGAACCUAUCGUGAUGAAAAAUUUAUAUUGGAUUCAGAAAAACGCCUAUUCCCAUAAAGAAAACCUUCAAUUAAAUCAGGAGACAGAAGCCAUAAAGGAAGAACUGUUGUAUUUUAAAGCUAAUGGUGGAGGGGCUUUGGUGGAAAACACAACCACUGGGAUUAGCCGAGACACACAGACGUUGAAGAGGCUUGCAGAAGAGACUGGCGUCCAUAUCAUAUCUGGAGCCGGGUUUUAUGUGGAUGCAACUCACUCCUCAGAGACCAGGGCCAUGUCAGUGGAGCAGCUUACCGAUGUCCUUAUGAAUGAAAUUCUCCAUGGAGCUGAUGGAACCAGUAUCAAGUGUGGCAUUAUUGGAGAAAUUGGUUGCUCCUGGCCUUUGACUGAGAGUGAAAGAAAGGUUCUCCAGGCCACAGCUCAUGCCCAGGCUCAGCUUGGUUGUCCUGUUAUUAUCCAUCCUGGACGGAGCUCCAGGGCACCAUUUCAGAUUAUCCGAAUAUUGCAAGAAGCAGGCGCAGACAUCUCCAAAACAGUCAUGUCACACCUGGAUAGGACUAUUCUUGAUAAGAAAGAGCUCUUGGAGUUUGCUCAACUUGGCUGCUACUUGGAAUAUGAUCUCUUUGGUACUGAACUACUUCAUUACCAACUCGGCCCAGAUAUUGACAUGCCUGAUGAUAACAAAAGAAUUAGAAGGGUGCGUCUCCUGGUGGAAGAGGGCUGUGAAGAUCGAAUUCUGGUAGCACAUGACAUACAUACGAAAACCCGGCUGAUGAAAUAUGGAGGUCACGGCUAUUCUCAUAUACUCACCAAUGUUGUUCCUAAAAUGUUGCUGAGAGGCAUAACUGAGAAUGUGCUUGAUAAGAUUCUAAUAGAGAACCCUAAGCAAUGGCUAACUUUCAAAUAGGAUGGUUGCUUAUGAAUUCACACCUUGAGUAUAAAACUUGCAGAGAACAUUCAGCGAUUUCCAGUCCACUGUGAGAUAUUAAUCAGUUACCUAGGACUAAUGACAGAUCAUUUCCUUCUGAUGAGAACUAGGAGGGUUUGCCUUCUCUGAGACCAGCUAUUACAACUGUGCCUCUAGGGAGUUACUCAGCCUAAUUGAGCCCUAUUAUUUUAACUUAACAAAAUAAAUACAGAAGUACCUAUUUCUAAACAAUGAUUUAAAGUCUAUAUCCCCUAAGCGGAGUUGUUGUUUUUCUCCCUAAUCUAUCAGCUGCACUACUUGAGAAAAUUUAAAGUGUUUCUAGUUAAAUUAUUUCCUUCUUGAGCGAUCUAAUGUUUCUUGUAAUAUUGAUGAUCCUACUAAUUAUCCUGCUGUUCUUUAAUUAAUGCUUAAUGAAUAAUAUGGCACUGUAAAAUAGCUUCUGCAACAAGGGAAGUUAAAUUUUGAGACUUUUUUCCCCAAAGGAUACUGACUGUAAUACAAUUACCAAUUCACAAUGAUAAAAAUAUUUUGAAAGGUUAAUUUUAUACUGUCCACCUAUCUAUAUAUUCUUCUACUGAAAUGAUUUUGAUAUCUUUGGCUUUCCGGUAUCUAUUUUUGCCAUACAUUUUGCUGUUUUGCAAAGUUUGUAUAAGAACACAUAACACUACUGAAUUAUAAAAAUUCAAUCAUAAAAGUCAAAAUAUAUUACAUAAUAUAGUUUAAUGAAUCAUUACAUUUAUAAUAACAAAGGCCACAAUUUAAUUAAUUGGUAAGAUAUAAUGCAAAAAAAAAAAGAGAAAUGUUUGCCUUAUGUAUAUUCCCUUUAUUUCCUUUACCUUUUGUUUUUCCUUGGACCUAAACAGAGAAAAUAAUGCUUAUGUAUCUGAAGAAAAGGUCAGAUCUAUUGGAAAUGACAGCCCGAUACUUGAGCCUCCUCUUUAAAAGGGUGUAACCACAAAACCGAGUGAACGUCACCAUUUUUAUUCAGUAGGCGUAACCACAAAUUCCUGCGAAUGCAUUAGAGUGAUUCCACAGACUGAAAGGUUACCCUCACAGUUUCUACCACCUUUGUUGGAUCAAGCCAGUGUGGUUGCUUUUUAAUGAAUGUAAUUCUGUAAGAUUUUAACCUAUACUGUACCGUAAGACUGUCCCAAUUAAAUAAUUGCCAUACUCCAGUGUACCUGGCAUGAUUUUGGUAUGGCUGCUCACCUGAUCCUACUCUAAAGAUAUAACAGGACUUGAAAUUUCAAGCUCUAGUAUUCAGCUCAGUGACUUCAACAAUUCUUUCAAGCCAUCAAACUAUUGAGGAAGGCAAUGUGUUCACCCUGGAGGCUGUUUCCAGAUUCCUAAAUGUACAGUGAUUUCAGCAUUCUGUCUGGGAAUAAGAUCCAUCCUUCCUUCAGCGCAAUCAACCGAUUUCUACCUGAAUUUACUCUAAUAUCUUUUCUUAUUACAAGAUAACUAUUUAGAUUCUGCUUUAUGUUUAGUCCGUAUUUCUUUAACCCUAAAAAGAUUAUGAAUUUGACAUGUCAUUGAUCUCUCUAAUAAGCGAAUACCAACCCACAAACCACUCAUCCUUUUAAAAAUAUUUCAUGGGCAUCGGUGCCAUAACUAAUAAAUUUUUAAGAGUACCAACUGGUCUUUAAUUAUUUUAUGCUUUUAAUCCUGAAACAGUAUUAGUUUUCAUUCGAGUGGCUUAUUUAUUAUAGUGGCAUUAGAGUGAUUGUAUUCAAAUAGCAAUUUUUCUUCAUGUUUUCUGCUAAAAGGAUUAUCAACAUUAAAGAGAUUUCCUCUUUCCAAAUGUAAAGCUAUUUGAGUUGAACUUUUACCUUUAAUAUGCACUGUCAUGGGCUUUCAACAAAUGGUAGGAUUAAAUUUAGGUUGAUGGCUUCAUGGGGAGUAUGAGAGCUGCGGUCAUUUUAGGGAUAUGUUUCUGUGUCUGCAAUAGGUUUCAUAGUUUUAGCAUUAUCUUAUUAGUGAGGAUCUAUCAUUAGAGAUCAUAUUUAUGGUGACAUUUGUAAUUUAAUUAAUUGCUACUGAUGUUCUCGUAAUUUCAUUUUCAUUGUACUUCUGUGGAAUCAUAAACAAAAGGUUAAGUGGCACAUCAGGUUAAUUUACUGGUCUUUGAUGUUUCCAUCUGUGAUCUUACAUUCUACACAAAGUAUAAAUAAAAUGGCUCUCAUAUGGUUACAGUCCAGAAGCAUUUCUCUCUCUUAGAGGGAACUGCAUUUUUAGUUUAAUUUUUGUGCUUCUCAAAAUCCACUUAAUCCAUAGAACAUUACACUGACAUGGAUCUCUGAGUUUCUGUUUUAUGAAAAAUUAAGUCAGCUCAGAGAGGGAACCUGCCAUUCUAAGAAGUGAUCAGACCAGAAUAUAAUUGAAAAGCAAGAGUGAAGUAUUAUUUAAAAUUAAUAAAAAGAUUUUAAAAGAUUUCUCAUUUGUAACUGCCUGCAGACUGGACUUGACAAAAUAGUUCUAAUCUAGAGAUAAAAUUCCUUAACUGUAGUAGUGUAGUAACCAUUUUCCAAAAUAGUCCACACUGAACUAAAAAAAAAUGUUUACCACUAUAGAUUUAUUUUUCUGAAUUACCUGUUGCAUACCUUUUGCAGAAGUAGCAGCUUAAUAUUACCAAUGAAAAGACUUAUACAUUAUAAGGUCAGCUGUUUUACCUUACUAUUUUUCCUGAUCCUCAUGGAAUGUGUGUGCUAGUGUGAUACAAAGGAAGAUUUUACACCCCAAACAGUGAAAUAAUUUUAAAAACAAAACGCACAUAGAACACCUACAUGGUGUUAUUUUCUUCAAAUCAGUGUAAUAUACACAGGCUCAGCAGUCUAGACAUCAACAUUUAAACUAAUUUAAAUGUAUUAAUCCCUUCUUUUUUCAUGCAAUUGCAAUUUCCAGAUAUUUAAAGAUGUGAGCAUUUUUACACAUUUGCUGAUAAAAUUGGAAUCAUUUCAUUUUAAUUGAUACCUCUAAAAAUCAUCUCUUCAGCCCGAUUGUAUUUUCCAGACCUGACCUUUGAGUCAGAAGAGAGCCAAUUUGCAAAUAAAGGGGUGUCUCAUGGCUGCCUGCUGAGGGACUGUUCAUAAGCCUUUUUGUGAGGGUGAUUCAAUAGCUCCAUUCUGGUACAGUGAGUCCUGCCCGUUUUAGCCAUUUGCCUAUAACUGUUUUACUGUUCUGUGAAUAAUUUUUAUUUAUCUUAAUAUUAUUUUCAUGCAUAAUAACUAUAAUAAACAACCCUGUCAGUGCC